UACGAAGGGGGCUAGCGUUGUUCGGAAUUACUGGGCGUAAAGCGCCCGUAGGCGGAUCGAUCAGUCAGGGGUGAAAUCCCAGAGCUCAACUCUGGAACUGCCUUUGAUACUGUCGAUCUGGAGUAUGGAAGAGGUGAGUGGAAUUCCGAGUGUAGAGGUGAAAUUCGUAGAUAUUCGGAGGAACACCAGUGGCGAAGGCGGCUCACUGGUCCAUUACUGACGCUGAGGUGCGAGAGCGUGGGGAGCAAACAGG
rnacentral:rRNA from 1 species